AAAUCCUAUGAACCAUUGACAGGUGGGCCCGGCUGCUCUCUCUCUCUCGUUCUUUCUUUUCCCGUCGUCUUCUUCCUCCAGCCGGGCAGAGGCAGCGCGCAUGGCGCGGCUGGGCACAGCCGAGACGGCGCGAGACCGGCACGGCAGCGGCCGGGAAAGGUGCGUGAGGCUCCGGCGACCCUCCAAUUUCGGCGGCGGCGCAAGGCGGAGCAGGGGCGAGCAAGGAGAGGAGGAGCUCCGGGAUGGCUUGUCCACGGCGAGCUCACUGGCGGCAAAACGGUGACCGAACAGGCACGGCUUCGGUUGCUAAUUGGUGAAAUUAAAGGGGGCUCUAGUUUCUACGGAACUAGGGGAGGCCAGAGGAGCGAGGACUUACCGAGGGAUGGAGGAACGACGAAGAUCGGUGUCGCGGUGGUGGAGCGGAGAAGAAGGUGAAGCACACCCA
rnacentral:lncRNA from 1 species